UACAGAGGGUGCGAGCGUUGUUCGGAAUUAUUGGGCGUAAAGGGCGCGUAGGCGGUGCGGCAAGUCACCUGUGAAACCUCUGGGCUUAACCCAGAGCCUGCAUUCGAUACUGCCGUGCUUGAGGACUGGAGAGGAGACUGGAAUUUACGGUGUAGCGGUGAAAUGCGUAGAUAUCGUAAGGAAGACCAGUGGCGAAGGCGGGUCUCUGGACAGUUCCUGACGCUGAGGCACGAAGGCCAGGGGAGCAAACGGG
rnacentral:rRNA from 1 species